AUUAACAUCUAUAUGUCCCAGAUCUGGAUCACUUGCAUGUUCUUGGUUCUUCAGUGACUGGGUAUCCCUCUCUUGCAAGCCUCACUCUCUGCACCCCCCUGUUUAUGGAGAGGGCAUAUAGGGACAUCUUUCCUCCUUAUUGCAUCCCUCAAUUUACCUUUAGUGUCGUCCCUCCUCUGUGUAGCUUCACUCUUAAUCCACUGCCCUUAGGCUAAUUAUCUGUCCUCUCAUCCCUUUCUUUCCUCUGCACGUGUAAAUGCUUUCCACCUCCCUCAAUUUUUUUUGCUUAAUGCUUUAAAUACUAAACUUCCUCCAGUUCUCCUUUCCACUUUAUUAUGCCCAGUCUCUUUUUGUGUCUCUUUCUUAUACGUUAACAAUCACUUGCAUUUUCUUAAUUGUCACACUCCCCCUGUUGAUUUCUUUCUAUCUUUCCUCCCAAGCCUUCUUUUUCUUGCAUCACUCCACCAGCUUCUCUAACAAGCCCGGUGUCCCCCUCUCACUGGCUCACAAUCUCAUACACUGACAGCCUGUGUAGGAAGCAGCUUCACAAAGGGACUUCCCC